rnacentral:lncRNA from 1 species
AAAAAUGAUUUCAGACCGACAUAACAGUUGUGUGUGUGUUUAAUUAUUUAUUUAUUAUUAUCAUUUAUUUAUUUAUUUUUGUGAAUGAGAAGAAGGUGUUGAGCUUUCUUGCAUCCUAUUCUUCAUGCAGUCCUUAAUGGCAGCACAGCUGAAAGGUCUUUAAAUGAAGUGUUCUCUCUGGCAUGCAGAACUUGUAUUUGUAGUGAUAACCUGUUAUCUGACAUAAUUGUCUGUAUAAAUAGAAAAUGUAAAAAUGUAAAUGAAUUCAUCGUUGAUUGUGUGGUUUCCUGUAGUAGAAGUGCAUUGUCCCUAUAUUGCAGAGCAUGUUGUCCACAGGGGGGCGCCAAACAGCUGGAGGUCUCUGGCUAUAUUUAAACAGGGAAGGAGACAAGUUUACUCUGACGUCCAGAAAAUUGUGAAAACAAUGACUUGCCAAAAUGCUGAUUCAUUUGUGGAGUAUGGCCAUAUCGAUUCAAACCAAGAUCUGAGGCUGGCGGUUCUGAUUAAUUUAAAUGGAAAUGGAUGAAGCACCAGGCCUUCAUGGCCGAACUGGCCCAUAACAAAGAAUGGCUCGCCAAGAUCGAACAGGUGAGUCACAGGCAAUGAAAUUAAAGAAAUGGGAUGGCGAGAAGAAAGGAAAAAUUAAGAUAAGGGUCGGCAAUUUGUACAUAAGAUGCUCUUCAGGUAACUGCAUGGGCUCCGGCUUCUUUCCAGCACAUUGGCUUUAUGAUCACAGUUUCCUUGUAAAUAUAUAUCAAUUUAUAAGGAUGCAAUUGCUUUUUUAAGAAUUAUAUUCAGUAUUGAUGCAUUACAUUGAUCAAAAGCAUCAGUAAAGAUUUAUUGUUUUAUAUACAUGCUGUUCUUUUGAACACUCUGUUCAUCAAAAAAAUAUAAAAAAAAUAGCAGCACAACACCGAUAAUAAUUAGAACUGUAAAUUAGCAUAUAUAAUGAUUUCUGAUGGAUCAUGUGUCUCUGACAUCUGGAGUAAUGGCUGCUGAAUAUUUAGGAAUAAAUAGCUUUUGAAAAUAAAUAAAAAAAACUGUUGUUUUAUUUAAAAUUGUAAUAAUAUUUCACUAUAUUACUGUUUUUACUGUACCAUCAAAAUGAAUGCAUCCUUGGUGACUCUUGGUUAAUAAAUGUUAAUGCUGUUAAUAGUUUUACUCUGGGAACUGUGGGAAAUAUUACUGAGUCAGUAUGAAUUCUCAGCUGAAUUUAGAGCGCAUGAGAAGUAUCAAGGAAAAAGGACUUGAUGAGAACAAAUUCAGGAUCUAUCGAGGGAAGAUUCAUGUGUCUGUCUCUUUAAAUUGGAAGCAGCUAUGCUAUAGCGACACAUAUGUGUCCUUUCCCCUGCUCUCACUCAGCUGUUUGAAAUUAUGACAGACUCCUUACAGACACACAGUGAAGAUAUCUCCCACUGAACAAGAAUUGGAUAUCCCUUUUUACCUCUGUAAUAACACAAUCCACCUCAAAACUUUUUUUUCAUGUAACAGACAAAUCUUCCCUUAUGGAUAUUCUUACAAACACACACACACACACACACACACACCCCUGUGGCAACUAACCAGCACUGCUGCUGAGGCUGUGACCUCCAGUUCCUCAGCAUCCCUGUGGUUGUUUUCUAAACCAAUCUGUUCUCCUUUCCUUACUGUCCCCCAGCGCACACACACACAGCUAUCCUUGUGGUGCA